UUCCUACACGCACUGCAAAUCACGUACGUCAGCAGCCAGGGUGCCACCAGUUGCUAAGCAGUUGUUAUUUCAAUGGUAACUAAGCAUCAACAUUUUAUCUGUUUAACUUUAAAAUAAAUACUGUCGCAGCUAUGAAUUGACACCUCCUUUCUUAAAGCAGUAUUUUAUCGUUAAGUGUCAAACUUAGACAAUAAAUAAGUAGGUUCUACGAGUAUGAUCGGUUUUUUAUUUUAAUUGUCAUAUGCGGCUGUUCUUCCAAACCGUAGAGCAUAUUAUAUAUGUUAAUAUAUUUAUUUAGCCCGCUUACUGUACUAAAAUAUACUAUACAGGGUGGCCCAUUUAGAUCGGCCAGUAUGGGAAAAUCUGAUACUAUAAGAUAUACACCGAUCUCUCCUUAGGAACCAUGUCAUCGAUUUUAGUAACACGAAAAACUGCAUUCAUACGUUUAAAAUUGUGUACUCAGCUCGGGAAUGGAACCCCGAACGUUUUGAAAAAUAAAACUAAGACUAUUUCUAUUUAAUAUCGAUUGUGUAGGUAGGUAAGCUUAAAUUUAAUGUUACUUUGAAAUAUGAUGUCUGAAAUUAAUAAAAUGCAUUGUUUUCAUAUCCUUUAAUUUAAUUUAGUAAGUUUUCGAAGAGACCACCAUUUUAGGGUUCCGUAGCCAAAUGGCAAAAAAACGGAACCCUUAUGUCCCUCAUGUCUGCCUGUCUAUCUAUCCGUCCGUAUGUCACAGCCACUUUUUUCCGAAACUAUAAGAACUAUAUUGUUGAAACUUGGUAAGUAGAUGUAUUCUAUGAACCGCUUUAAGAGUUUCACACAAAAAUAGAAAAAAAAACAAUAAAUUUUGGGGGUUCCCCAUACUUACAACUGAAACUCAAAAA